rnacentral:lncRNA from 1 species
AUUUCAUUGAAGGAGAUCAAGAAAAUUAAUUACUGAUCAAGAGCCCACCUAAACUUGCAAGAAAACAAGCUUAUGUUACUAUAGAAGAAUGAGAGAUCACCUGGGCAAAUAUAAGACAUUUUAGAUGAUCCAUAAUAGAAUUACUAACCUCCAGUCUGUCUGCCAGCUCCACAAAGACACAAGAGCAAACCCAGAAAUUCUGAGAACCUUCCUUGAAAUCAUUGAACAGCAAAUGAACAAGCUGUUGCCAACCUGGGGUAGAAGACAGCAGAAUUCCAGCAAGUUUCCUGAAUGGAUUCCCAUUCACUGCUCUUGGACUUGGGAGAGCUCUGGUAAGAGACAGGGAAACCUUUCCUUUCCCCUUCCCAGGGACUCAGUAAAUAUGCAGGCACCACAGCCAGGGUAUUCAUUGAUCAGAUGUACAUCCCUCCUCCACAACAGACAAAUUGAUCACUCUGGAUCACCAAGAAGAUCUACGUUGUUUACAUAAUAACAAUAGUGGGGUUUAUUACAGUGUAAUAUUGUAAUGACUUUUUGUCCAGGAAACUUGUGAACAUCCCAUUUUUAUCCACAAACUGUUAUUCUUUCCUGCAAGGUCCCCAAGGGAAGUAUACACACAAUAUAAUUAAAACACAACAAAGAAGCAUUCUACUGUGCGUUUACCAUACACUCUAAAGUGGAAUUUCAAGACACUAAGCGAAAGCAUACUUUAUUUUAAAUGUUAGAUAUGCUGGUAUGUUUUGUACAAUCAAAUACUUAUGAGACCUGUUCUCUCCAUUUGUCCUAGUGAGGCAGGAAAUUAAAGAAAAAUAAAAUUAAAAAGAGAAAUAAGUUUUCCUGUAUUAGGCUAACUUGUCCCAGGCAGCAACAGGCACAGCCCAGACCCAGGAAAAUUCUUGCUAAUAUUAUCUAAUGUGCUCUGGAGGCUCUCCCAGCAUUCCCUCAACAUACGGAGAAGAAAAACCAAAUUUUCCUUUAUUUUAUGGAAUGAGUUUAUAGAUUCCUGUUCUCUGUAACUAGUGACUUCAAGUAUUGUUUUAUCUAAGAAGUACAACGAAGGUCAUGAGAAGCCUGAGUAGGCCUGAACUACAGCUGCCUGGGCACCAUAGUGAAGGUUAUGGGAUAAGCCCGUGCCUAGGCAAACCUAGAUAACGGACAUCUGGGUUGCAUAGCAAUGGUUAUGUGCAAUCCUACGUUAUACACCUGUUACAAUUUGAUUAACUGUCUUUGUCCUGCCUCUGUAUCCCUGCUUUCACACCACUGUAAGCUUGCUUCA